GGGGGGGAAUGGUCAAUGGCCUAACGGCUGCGACGGUAUUUGGAGGACGCUAUAAAUCGUUUUAUCGAAUAAAGUUCUGUAUACAUAUUUAUAAUGACAAUAUGUACAUUUGUCUUGACUAAUUACGUGCCAGCAGUCGCGGCAAUACGUAAGAGACUAGUGUUAUUCAUCUUAAAUAGGUUUAAAGGGUACUUAGGCGGAAAAAUUAGCCUUAACAAGGUACAAUUUUUCUAGAGUUUUAUGAGAGAAGGUAGUACUCAUGAGUGGAGAGAUAAAAUUUGUUGAUACCUAGGGGGACUGGUAAAGGCGAAGGCAACCUUUUAUGUAAAAACUGACGCUGAAGGACGAAGGCACAGGGCACAAACAGGAUUAGAUACCCUAAUAGUCUUUGCAGAGAAUUAUGAAUGCCAUAGAUUAGAUUGACCGUUUGAUUAGAUAGUUUAUAAAUAGGAUUUUUAACUGUGUUUACAUUGUUAACUGAAUUAUUUGUGAAACUAUUUGAAAGGCAAGAUUAUAUAUUUAUAAUCUUUAUAUUUGGUCUAUAAACGAAAGUGUAAGCAUUUCACCUCAAGAGUAAUGUGGCAACGCAGGAACUGAAAUCACUAGGCCGUUUCUGACCCCAGCAGUGAAGUAUGUUAUUUAAUUCGAUGAUCCACGAAAAACCUUACCACAAUUUGAAUAUUAAUAAAGCUAUGAUUUAUUAAUACAAGCGUUGCACGGCUGUCUUCAGUUAAUGUUGUGAAACUGUGGUUCGGUCCAUAAAAUUAACGGAAACCCUUGCUUUAUUUAUAAUAUUAAUUAAUAAAGCAGUUCGCAUUUAUAAUGUUAUAUGAUAGAAGGGACUAAGACAAGUCAUCAUGGCCUUUAUAUUG
rnacentral:rRNA from 1 species